rnacentral:misc_RNA from 1 species
UCUCCGUAGGUGAACCUGCGGAGGGAUCAUUACUGAGUGAGGGUCUCCGGGCCCGACCUCCAACCCUUUUGUGAACCACCUCGUUGCUUCGGGGGCGACCCUGCCGUUCGCGGCGUGGGGCCCCCGGUGGCUCACACCUCAACUCUUGCAUCUGUGCGUCUGAGUAACAUAUUGAAUCAAUCAAAACUUUCAACAACGGAUCUCUUGGUUCUGGCAUCGAUGAAGAACGCAGC